rnacentral:rRNA from 1 species
CCUACGGGAGGCAGCAGUGAGGAAUAUUGGUCAAUGGGCGGGAGCCUGAACCAGCCAAGUAGCGUGAAGGAAGACGGCCCUAUGGGUUGUAAACCUCUUUUAUAAAGGAAUAAAAUGAGGCACGUGUGCCUUUUUGUAUGUACUUUAUGAAUAAGGAUCGGCUAACUCCGUGCCAUCAGCCGCGGUAAUACGGAGGAUCCGAGCGUUAUCCGGAUUUAUUGGGUUUAAAGGGAGCGUAGAUGGGUUGUUAAGUCAGUUGUGAAAGUUUGCGGCUCAACCGUAAAAUUGCAAUUGAUACUGGCAGUCUUGAGUACAGUUGAGGUAGGCGGAAUUCGUGGUGUAGCGGUGAAAUGCUUAGAUAUCACGAAGAACCCCGAUUGCGAAGGCAGCUUACUAAACUGUCACUGACAUUGAUGCUCGAAAGUGUGGGUAUCAAACAGGAUUAGAUACCCGGGUAGUC